CAAGAUCACUGCUGUGGUGGAAUGAGCAGGCCAAGAUCACUCUGUGAUUAUCUGUCUCUGGAAAAAUCUCCCCACCUUGCCAAACUUCUGUAUGCUAACUUUGGAUAGAAAGAUGCUGAGAAGGCACAGUUCUGAAGUCUUGCCGCUGAGGAGAGGUGGUCAGGAAUCCACAAAGAGCAGGCAGGAGAAUAAUUUCUUAACAAGAUUACCCACUAUGAAGAAUAUCCCAAAAUUUCUGGAUAAGUCAUUCAAAAAUUAAUAAAUAAAACCAUCUUCAA